rnacentral:rRNA from 1 species
UACGGGGGAUUCGAGCGUUAUCCGGAUUUAUUGGGUUUAAAGGGUGCGUAGGUGGGAAGAUAAGUCAGCGGUUAAAUCUUAUAGCUUAACUAUAAAUUGUCCAUUGAUACUGUUUUUCUUGAAUUUAAUUGAAGUAAGUGGAACGUGUCAUGUAGCGGUGAAAUGCUUAGAUAUGACACAGAACACCAAUCACGAAGGUAGCUUACUAAGUUAAUAUUGACACUGAGGCACGAAAGCGUAGGUAUCAAACAGG